CCUACGGGCGACUGCAGUGAGGAAUAUUGGUCAAUGGGCGAGAGCCUGAACCAGCCAAGUCGCGUGAGGGAGUACUGCCCUAUGGGUUGUAAACCUCUUUUGUCGGGGAGCAAAAGCCGGACGUGUCCGGCUGUGAGAGUACCCGAAGAAAAAGCAUCGGCUAACUCCGUGCCAGCAGCCGCGGUAAUACGGAGGAUGCGAGCGUUAUCCGGAUUUAUUGGGUUUAAAGGGUGCGCAGGCGGAUUUUUAAGUCAGCGGUAAAAUCGUGGGGCUCAACCCCAUCCAGCCGUUGAAACUGGGGAUCUAGAGUGUGCGAGAGGUAUGCGGAAUGCGUGGUGUAGCGGUGAAAUGCAUAGAUAUCACGCAGAACCCCGAUUGCGAAGGCAGCAUACCGGUGCACAACUGACGCUCAGGCACGAAAGCGUGGGUAUCGAACAGGAUUAGAUACCCCUGUAGUC
rnacentral:rRNA from 1 species